rnacentral:rRNA from 1 species
AUGGGAUCGGAGGCGGAUGCGGCGGAGAUGACCGGGCCCCUCCUUGCCGGCGUGCCGUCGGCGGUGGAGGCGGUGCCGCCGUGGCGGGAGCAGCUGACGGUCCGGGGUGUGGUGGUGAGCGCCAUCCUGGGGGUGCUCUUCUGCCUCAUCACACACAAGCUCAACCUCACGGUGGGGAUCAUUCCUUCGCUCAACGUCGCCGCGGGCCUGCUCGCCUACUUCCUCGUGCGGACCUGGACUGCGGCGCUGGACAUGUUCGGCGUUGUCUCCAAGCCCUUCACGAAGCAGGAGAACACCGUCAUCCAGACCUGCGUCGUCGCCUGCUACGGCCUCGCCACCAGCGGCUGGUAUCAUGUGAUACUUUCCCUCGGAUCAUAUAUGCUUGCAAUGGAUCAAAAAACUUACGAGCUUCUUGGGACUGAUUAUCCUGGUAACAGGGCAGUGGAUGUGAAGAAUCCCUCGCUAAGUUGGAUGAUUGGGUUUAUGUUUGUAGUUAGCUUCAUUGGUAUUUUUUGUCUCGUUGCCCUGCGCAAGGCGAUGGUGAUAAACUAUAAGCUAACCUAUCCCAGAGGAACUGCCACAGCUAUGUUCAUAAACAGCGUCCACACUUCUACCGGAGAUGAGUUAGUAGAAAAACAAGUUAGUUGUCUCGGAAAGUAUUUAAGCAUAAGUUUCCUUUGGAACUGCUUUAAAUGGUUCUUCAGCGGUGCCGGGGAUUCUUGUGGCUUCGACAACUUCCCUUCUCUGGGCCUUGCAGCAUUUAAGAACAUGUUUUAUUUUGACUUCAAUCCAACCUAUAUUGGAUGUGGCCUUAUAUGUCCACAUAUAGUUAAUUGCUCUGCACUUCUUGGAGCCAUCAUAUCUUGGGGUUUUCUUUGGCCAUAUAUAUCGACAAAAGCGGGGGAGUGGUACCCAGCUAACCUUGGAAGCAAUGACUUCAAAGGACUCUAUGGGUACAAGGUUUUCAUAUCGGUAUCCUUGAUACUUGGUGAUGGUACUUUUAACCUCAUCAAAAUAAUUUAUGCUACUAUCAAGGAAAUAAUGAAUGCACGCUCAAAGCAAGGAAGACUUCCCCUUGUUCGGGUUCAUGAUGAUGAUAAAAAUUCCAAAUUAUCAGUCAAGGAAAAGCUUCUAAAUGAGGUGUUUCUAAAAGACAGUAUCCCUCCCUGGUUGGCAGGAUCUGGUUAUGUGGGCCUUGCAGCAAUUUCAACUGCAAUAGUGCCAAUGAUAUUCCCACAACUCAAGUGGUACCUUGUCCUCUUUGCCUAUGUUGUUGCUCCUCUACUUGCCUUCUGCAACUCAUACGGAACUGGACUAACAGAUUGGAACCUUGCAUCCACAUAUGGAAAGAUUGGCCUUUUCAUUUUUGCCUCAUGGGUUGGCCAACAUGGUGGUGUGAUCGCCGGCUUAGCAGCUUGUGGUGUUAUGAUGUCCAUCGUAUCCACAGCUGGUGAUCUCAUGCAUGACUUCAAGACUGGGUACCUGACCCUCUCAUCACCAAGGUCCAUGUUUGUGUCACAGUUGAUUGGCACUGCCCUUGGUUGUGUCAUUGCUCCUCUAACCUUUUGGCUUUACUGGACAUCCUUCGAUAUUGGCAAUCCUGAUGGUAUGUUCAAAGCUCCAUAUGCCAUCAUCUUCCGUGAGAUGUCAAUCAUGGGUGUCGAAGGAUUCUCAGUGUUGCCGCGACAUUGCCUUGCAAUAUGCUCUUUCUUCUUCUUUGGAGCCAUAGCAAUCAAGCUCAUCCGGGAUGUCACCCCAAAUGGUCUAUCCAAAUUCAUCCCGCUCCUGAUGGCCAUGGCCGUUUCAUUUUACAUUGGGGCAUACUUCGCGAUUGACAUAUUUAUCGGGACUGUCAUCUUGUUUGUAUGGGAGAUGGUGAACCGUAAGGAGUCAGAGGAGUUUGCGGGUGCGGUUGCUUCUGGUUUGAUUUGCGGUGAUGGUAUCUGGAGUGUUCCGUCUGCAAUAUUGUCCAUCAUGAGGAUUGACCCACCGAUGUGCAUGUACUUCAAGCCAUCUUUUACCUAUGGCUGA